GUACACUCCUACGGGAGGCAGCAGUGGGGAAUAUUGGACAAUGGGCGCAAGCCUGAUCCAGCCAUGCCGCGUGAGUGAUGAAGGCCCUAGGGUUGUAAAGCUCUUUCACCGGUGAAGAUAAUGACGGUAACCGGAGAAGAAGCCCCGGCUAACUUCGUGCCAGCAGCCGCGGUAAUACGAAGGGGGCUAGCGUUGUUCGGAUUUACUGGGCGUAAAGCGCACGUAGGCGGACUAUUAAGUCAGGGGUGAAAUCCCGGGGCUCAACCCCGGAACUGCCUUUGAUACUGGUAGUCUUGAGUUCGAGAGAGGUGAGUGGAAUUCCGAGUGUAGAGGUGAAAUUCGUAGAUAUUCGGAGGAACACCAGUGGCGAAGGCGGCUCACUGGCUCGAUACUGACGCUGAGGUGCGAAAGCGUGGGGAGCAAACAGGAUUAGAAACCCUAGUAGUCCC
rnacentral:rRNA from 1 species